CCUACGGGUGGCUGCAGUGGGGAAUAUUGGACAAUGGGGGCAACCCUGAUCCAGCCAUGCCGCGUGUGUGAAGAAGGCCCUCGGGUUGUAAAGCACUUUCAGUGAGGAAGAACGCCUGGUGGUUAAUACCCAUCAGGAAAGACAUCACUCACAGAAGAAGCACCGGCUAACUCCGUGCCAGCAGCCGCGGUAAUACGGAGGGUGCGAGCGUUAAUCGGAAUUACUAGGCGUAAAGCGCGCGUAGGUGGCUUGAUAAGCCGGUUGUGAAAGCCCCGGGCUCAACCUGGGAACGGCAUCCGGAACUGUCAAGCUAGAGUGCAGGAGAGGAAGGUAGAAUUCCCGGUGUAGCGGUGAGAUGCGUAGAGAUCGGGAGGAAUACCAGUGGCGAAGGCGGCCUUCUGGACUGACACUGACACUGAGGUGCGAAAGCGUGGGUAGCAAACAGGAUUAGAUACCCUUGUAGUC
rnacentral:rRNA from 1 species